rnacentral:rRNA from 1 species
CGCGUCAGAAUGUGAACUGCAGGACACAUGAACACCGACAAGUUGAACGCAUAUUGCACAUCGUACAACAGUACGAUGUACACAUUUUUGAGUGCCUAUAUUUACCCAUUUAACUAUACGUUGCGUGCGUGCACCUGUAUGCGGAGUGACGUUUUCCCGCCUUCAGUGUGCGAUAAAACGUUCAAGAUAGUCAAACACAGGACACAUAGUCCCGUGGUUGAUGAGUACACCCCACUUGCUGGACCUGGUUCCACUUGCGUUGUGCUUCAUCAUCAACACAUUGACCACUCACUCGAACUCAUGUAGGCCUCAAAUAAUGUGUGAC